CCAGCGGGGGAUUCGGUAUAGCAGCUCAGGUUCGUUUGCGCUGCGCGUUCCCGCUGGACUGGACACAUGUUAGCUGUAGGAAGUAUGGUUCCGAAAGUGACUUCGGUUCGCCAGUUCAGGCUCAACUCCUCGCUUUACGUUAGCGGACCUACAGGUCGGGCCGGGGCUCUGCGCUCUUUCUUUCUGUGUGGGACGAUACCGGGGAGAGAAGGGAAUGACAGGUACCACGAGCCCUCUGUCCCACACAUCUAUCCAGAAGCAAGUGUAGUUCACCGG
rnacentral:lncRNA from 1 species